GACGAGCCUCACAAACGUUAUUCGGAAUUACUGGGCUUAAAGGGUGCGUAGGCGGCGCGGAAAGUUGGGUGUGAAAUCCCACGGCUCAACCGUGGAACUGCUGGGCAUACUGGACAUCUCGAGGCACUCAGGGGCGAGCGGAACAAGUGGUGGAGCGGUGAAAUGCGUAGAUAUCACUUGGAACGCCAAUGGUGAAGACAGCUCGCUGGGGGUGUCCUGACGCUGAGGCGCGAAAGCCAGGGGAGCGAACGGG
rnacentral:rRNA from 1 species